CUCUCGUCUCCUCUCUCUCACCAUGGAUUCUUGGGAGGGGAGCUAAAUAUUGGGCUUCUGAUCUGUGACAAUUCCGUUAGACAGUUUAGGGUUUUUCGUGUUGGAGAAAGUCUGCUUAUUUAAGAUUCAUUUUAUAGAAUUUAUUGGCUUUUUGUAUCACUUUGUUUAGGGUUUUUGAUUAAUCUUGGAAUUGAAUCUUUUGGUUUUCAGUAUAUUGGUUGGGGCAUUACUGAUUUACUUCUGAAUAAUGUGCAUGCUAAAUUAAUCAUCGCUCCAGUAUUUGUGAAACAUUAUGCUUUUCAACCACGACAACAUUAUGUUCAGAGACAUGGUCUCCUUUUGGUGAUUCAGUAAUUAUUACACCAGUCUUGAAAGGGAGUUGCAGAAUACAAGGACCUGUAGAUGAGGCAGAACAUGACAAUCAGAAGAAUACGGUAGGAAUUUUAAAUGUUUGAUCUACAAUGCCUGGGCAAUUGGACUUCUAGUAUGAAUCAACAUGGUUAAUACCGGUCGGGAGAAAUUGUCCUGCAGGUGUGCAACAGAUUAAAAAAGCUCAACCAUGUUAGUAAGCUUUACUCUGUUUAUGUUUGUUCUGGCUCUCCUCUCCUCUUCAUUUUUCCCCUUGAUUAUCAUUACUAGCUAUCCGAGGUGUCUAUAUCAGGGUGAUGUUU